rnacentral:rRNA from 1 species
GAGAGUUUGAUCCUGGCUCAGAUUGAACGCUGGCGGCAGGCUUAACACAUGCAAGUCGAGCGGGGUGAUGUAGCUUGCUACAUUACCUAGCGGCGGACGGGUGAGUAAUGCUUAGGAAUCUGCCUAUUAGUGGGGGACAACAUUCCGAAAGGAAUGCUAAUACCGCAUACGCCCUACGGGGGAAAGCAGGGGAUCUUCGGACCUUGCGCUAAUAGAUGAGCCUAAGUCAGAUUAGCUAGUUGGUGGGGUAAAGGCCUACCAAGGCGACGAUCUGUAGCGGGUCUGAGAGGAUGAUCCGCCACGCUGGGACUGAGACACGGCCCAGACUCCUACGGGAGGCAGCAGUGGGGAAUAUUGGACAAUGGGCGAAAGCCUGAUCCAGCCAUGCCGCGUGUGUGAAGAAGGCCUUCUGGUUGUAAAGCACUUUAAGCGAGGAGGAGGCUACUUGGAUUAAUACUCUAGGAUAGUGGACGUUACUCGCAGAAUAAGCACCGGCUAACUCUGUGCCAGCAGCCGCGGUAAUACAGAGGGUGCGAGCGUUAAUCGGAUUUACUGGGCGUAAAGCGUGCGUAGGCGGCUUUUUAAGUCGGAUGUGAAAUCCCUGAGCUUAACUUAGGAAUUGCAUUCGAUACUGGGAAGCUAGGGUAUGGGAGAGGAUGGUAGAAUUCCAGGUGUAGCGGUGAAAUGCGUAGAGAUCUGGAGGAAUACCGAUGGCGAAGGCAGCCAUCUGGCCUAAUACUGACGCUGAGGUACGAAAGCAUGGGGAGCAAACAGGAUUAGAUACCCUGGUAGUCCAUGCCGUAAACGAUGUCUACUAGCCGUUGGGGCCUUUGAGGCUUUAGUGGCGCAGCUAACGCGAUAAGUAGACCGCCUGGGGAGUACGGUCGCAAGACUAAAACUCAAAUGAAUUGACGGGGGCCCGCACAAGCGGUGGAGCAUGUGGUUUAAUUCGAUGCAACGCGAAGAACCUUACCUGGUCUUGACAUAGUAAGAACUUUCCAGAGAUGGAUUGGUGCCUUCGGGAACUUACAUACAGGUGCUGCAUGGCUGUCGUCAGCUCGUGUCGUGAGAUGUUGGGUUAAGUCCCGCAACGAGCGCAACCCUUUUCCUUAUUUGCCAGCGGGUUAAGCCGGGAACUUUAAGGAUACUGCCAGUGACAAACUGGAGGAAGGCGGGGACGACGUCAAGUCAUCAUGGCCCUUACGACCAGGGCUACACACGUGCUACAAUGGUCGGUACAAAGGGUUGCUACCUAGCGAUAGGAUGCUAAUCUCAAAAAGCCGAUCGUAGUCCGGAUUGGAGUCUGCAACUCGACUCCAUGAAGUCGGAAUCGCUAGUAUCGCGGAUCAGAAUGCCGCGGUGAAUACGUUCCCGGGCCUUGUACACACCGCCCGUCACACCAUGGGAAUUUGUUGCACCAGAAGUAGGUAGUCUAACCGCAAGGAGGACGCUUACCACGGUGUGGCCGAUGACUGGGGUGAAGUCGUAACAAGGUAGCCGUAG